AGAGUUUGAUCCUGGCUCAGGACGAACGCUGGCGGCGUGCUUAACACAUGCAAGUUGAACGGGGAAAUAUUCUUAAUUUCUUUCGGGAUUGGCGGGAUAUUUUCUAGUAGCGGACGGGUGAGUAAUGCAUGAGAAUCUGCCCUUAAGAGGGGGACAACAGUUGGAAACGGCUGCUAAUACCCCAUAAGCCGAGAGGUAAAAGGCCGUAAGGCCGCUUGAGGAGGGGCUCAUGUCCUAUCAGCUAGUUGGUGAGGUAAUGGCUUACCAAGGCGACGACGGGUAGCCGGCCUGAGAGGGUGAACGGCCACACUGGAACUGAGACACGGUCCAGACUCCUACGGGAGGCAGCAGUGGGGAAUAUUGGGCAAUGGGCGAGAGCCUGACCCAGCGACGCCGCGUGAGGGAUGACAGCCUUAGGGUUGUAAACCUCUGUUGUAUGGGAAGAAGGAAGUGACGGUACCAUACGAGGAAGCUCCGGCUAACUACGUGCCAGCAGCCGCGGUAAUACGUAGGGAGCGAGCGUUGUCCGGAAUUACUGGGCGUAAAGGGCACGCAGGCGGUCAUAUAAGUCAGCUGUUAAAUGUAUGGGCUUAACCGAUGCAUGCGGUUGAAACUGUAUGACUGGAGUACUGGAGAGGUAAGCGGAAUUCCCGGUGUAGCGGUGAAAUGCGUAGAUAUCGGGAAGAACACCAGUGGCGAAGGCGGCUUACUGGCCAGUUACUGACGCUGAGGUGCGAAAGCCAGGGGAGCGAACCGGAUUAGAUACCCGGGUAGUCCUGGCCGUAAACGAUGAAUGCUAGGUGUGGGUAUAGCGAUAUAUCCGUGCCGGAGUUAACGCGAUAAGCAUUCCGCCUGGGGAGUACGGUCGCAAGAUUGAAACUCAAAGGAAUUGACGGGGGCCCGCACAAGCGGUGGAGCACGUGGUUUAAUUCGAUGCAAACCGAAGAACCUUACCUGGGUUUGACAUGUACGUGUUAUUGAGCCGAAAGGUAAAAGACCCUGCAUUCGUGCAGGGAGCGUACACAGGUGCUGCAUGGCUGUCGUCAGCUCGUGUCGUGAGAUGUUGGGUUAAGUCCCGCAACGAGCGCAACCCCUGCACUUAGUUGCCAGCAUUUAGGAUGGGCACUCUAAGUGGACUGCCGGCGACAAGCCGGAGGAAGGUGGGGACGACGUCAAGUCAUCAUGGCCCUUAUGUCCAGGGCGACACACGUGCUACAAUGGCCAACACAACGGGAAGCGACUCUGCGAAGGGAAGCGGAUCCCUUAAAGUUGGUCUCAGUUCGGAUUGCAGUCUGCAACUCGACUGCAUGAAGCUGGAAUCGCUAGUAAUCGCGGAUCAGCCAAGCCGCGGUGAAUACGUUCCCGGGCCUUGUACACACCGCCCGUCACACCACCCGAGUUGGGUGCACCCGAAGCCAGUGGCCUAGCCUUUUAUUAGGAGGGAGCUGUCGAAGGUGUGUCUGGUAAGGGGGGGUGAAGUCGUAACAAGGUA
rnacentral:rRNA from 1 species